UUUUUAGUUAUUGGAAUUUAAUGUAUUAGAUCAUCUAGUUGUAUUACUUUACAAUAUGAUUACAUAAAUUGUGACCGAUUAAAGUUUGGCAGCAAAGAAUGUCAAAUACUGCAUAAAAAUGUUACCAGAGUACACUACAUUUUCUGUUUAAAUGACCUAUAGAGACUAUUAUUACGUGAAUGAAGCAACGUCAGAAAAUAUGCAAAGCAAUUAUAAUAAUUAAAAAUUAAUAAUCUAUAUUUUAUAAUAUACACAAAAAAUUCCUUACUA